CACCGGACGCAGAACAGAUCAUGAAGUACCUAGCUACCGUUGCCAUUCUGGCGCUCACUGUCCUAGUCGGCGUGUCUAUGGUGGCGGCUCGUGUCAAAAAUGAAUCGCCUGCCUGUCAAAUUUGCGAGGGCGAAUGAUUCGUCGAAGCUUACGAUACCAUGGAUAAUUCCAUCUAUAACCAAAUCAUGAAUUGUAUACAGAUCAAAUAAAAC